GAUGAACGCUGGCGGCGUGCCUAAUACAUGCAAGUCGAGCGAACAGACGAGGAGCUUGCUCCUUUGACGUUAGCGGCGGACGGGUGAGUAACACGUAGGUAACCUACCUAUAAGACUGGGAUAACUUCGGGAAACCGGAGCUAAUACCGGAUAAUAUUUCGAACCGCAUGGUUCGAUAGUGAAAGAUGGCUUUGCUAUCACUUAUAGAUGGACCUGCGCCGUAUUAGCUAGUUGGUAAGGUAACGGCUUACCAAGGCAACGAUACGUAGCCGACCUGAGAGGGUGAUCGGCCACACUGGAACUGAGACACGGUCCAGACUCCUACGGGAGGCAGCAGUAGGGAAUCUUCCGCAAUGGGCGAAAGCCUGACGGAGCAACGCCGCGUGAGUGAUGAAGGUCUUCGGAUCGUAAAACUCUGUUAUUAGGGAAGAACAAACGUGUAAGUAACUGUGCACGUCUUGACGGUACCUAGUCAGAAAGCCACGGCUAACUACGUG
rnacentral:rRNA from 1 species